GGAUUGUAGUCUGCAACCCGACUACAUGAAGCUGGAAUCGCUAGUAACCGCGGAUCAGAAUGCCGCGGUGAAUACGUUCCCGGGUCUUGUACACACCGCCCGUCACACCAUGGGAGUCGGAAAUGCCCGAAGUCUGUGACCCAACCUUAGGGAGGGAGCAGCCGAAGGCAGGUCGGAUGACUGGGGUGAAGUCGUAACAAGGUAGC
rnacentral:rRNA from 1 species